UUUCCUUCUGAAGAACUACACCCUUGGGUGGCCAUUAGAACCUGGGUGCAGUUAAGCCAGAUGAAGAUUCUAUUUCAUCCAUUAUUUGUGGUGUGAAAAGGACAACUUCAUCAUUAGCCUUCCAUCUGCUCAUGUAAACGUGGACAUUUACCUUCAGCAAUGAUGAUGGAGUUCUGUUUUCUGGUAGACAGGAGUUUGGAUGCACAGCAGAAAAUGUGGUUGAGAAAUUGGAAAGCUACUACAAACAUACUCUGGUCUGGAGAGGCAGUAUGAAGUGUGCAUUGAAGGAAGACCUGGGACUGCAUUUUAGCUCUGUCACCUCGAGGG